rnacentral:tRNA from 1 species
GGCUUCAUAGCUCAGUGGUAGAGCGUUUGCACUGCCAGCCAUCACAAUGGUUUAAUCCCUUGAAGCCU